rnacentral:rRNA from 1 species
GUGUCAGCAGCCGCGGUAAUACGGAGGGUGCAAGCGUUAUCCGGAUUUACUGGGUUUAAAGGGUGCGUAGGUGGGUUGGUAAGUCAGUGGUGAAAUACUUUCGCUUAACGAAGGAACUGCCAUUGAUACUACCGGUCUUGAAUACAGUGGAGGUAGGCGGAAUGCGUCAUGUAGCGGUGAAAUGCUUAGAUAUGACGCAGAACACCAAUUGCGAAGGCAGCUUGCUACACUGUUAUUGACACUGAGGCACGAAAGCGUGGGGAUCAAACAGGAUUAGAUACCCUGGUAGUCC